CUGCCAGCUUGUUGUCAGUGGCGCAGCUUCCUUUCCUUUACACUAACGUCAAGGCCUUUUUUAUUCCCGAUUUCAAACGAACAUAAAUCGUUGCCUCAUAAAAAGAAUAAAGAAAAACGAGAAAAACAAAACAAAAAACAAACAAAAACAAAACAAAAUCAUUGGAUAUUUAGCUAUUGAUUCCGGGAAAUAUUCCAACAUAGUGGAGAAUAUCGACCAAGCAAUGACCAAUGGUACGCACUAUUCAAUUUAUUCCCUCCGCAAUGCGUUCACUAAAAAAAUGUUCGAAUACCGAUAUCGUUCCAAGAAAGUUGGGCAUCGCUUUCCAGGUUAGCGUGUUUUGGAAACGGACGUAUUCUUGAGUUUCUAUUCACAUAUUAAUUUUUUUGGCUGUACCAUAUUUGAGUUUCUCCUUGGAUAUGGAAAAGGGCCCACUGCGAACGUACUUUUUGUUCUUCUUGUCUUAUUUUUUGGUUUCUAAAGCGAUCUUGAGUUCCGCAAAAUUGAUGUGUUCAUACUUUGGCUUAUGACGACUGUUGCGUCCGACCGGCGCCAGUAUCUCAUCAAAAGGUAAGCAGUCGGCUUAAGAAAGAAGAUAGAUUUUUCUCUCAACUGGCCACAUACAAUGACUGACUAUCCACAUAACAUAAAAAGCAUUUCAAGUCACGAGUUCGGCCUGAGCAUCAAUCUUCUUCCCCGUCGUCUACGCGGAGCUCUUUUUUUUUUUUUUGUUGUUGUUGUCCCAUCAUAUGUGAUGAACAGCCGGAAUUGCGGAUGAUAAUAAUUCUGGAAUGUAAAUCGUGAAAGUCACGGGCAAAGUUUAAUUCCAACAUUGCGCUAGUAAAGCAAGAUUUCCUCUGUUAUUAGUUAAUGGUCCAGUCGUAAAAAAAAACAACACGGCAAACAUUUGAAACAUAAAAAAAAGGAGAGAAAAGGCGGGAGUGCGCGUAAACAGAUAAUUUGACAACUUGUUUCGGCUGGCAACUGCUGCCAAUUUCGUACAUCGCGUGCGGAAUGUCGAUGCAGAUUUUGGCACCUCGUACGCCCUGGACCGGAGUAGCCCACAACGUAGAACCUUACAUACGCUUCAGCGGAUUCCGAAUAGUUCCCCAAAAAGCGAACAGCUCGCAACACGCGACAAACCAUAACUUGGGACAAAAAUCUGCCUUUGUUAUAGUCGAAAUUCUUGUGAAGGGGACAGUCGGGCUAACAUGAGAUGUCAAACUCUAUUUGCAUCCCAAAAAUCGCUUGGUCCUCUCGUAUUUCACAAAGCGCUCUAAUGGUGAUUUUCUAGUGUCGUUGUAGCUAUUUUGGGGGAAACAUCCGCCAGUUAAAAAUAGUACGUACCUUUUCCCCCACGUGCAUGAACAGUUGCCAACCCUGAUUGUUGUUGUUGCUACUGCGAAUUCAACUAACCGUCUUCCGCAUUCGGACAAGGUGUCACGGAGCUAAUCAAUCCCUUAAAGUUUUCUUAGCACUAGAUUCGCUUUGACGUUUCAGUUUGUUUGUUCUUUUAGGCUAGUUGAAUUCAAUCGAAAACUAUACCUUUCAGUUGAAUAAUAAAAGUACAGUCUUGCAUUAUCCUCCGUCAUUUUAAGGGACUCUAUAUAACCUUGAAGAAAAUCAUUGUCAAUUUUUACACACAUUGAAUAAUCAUAAACUAGUGUUAAUAUUUAACAUUCCAACUGAUGCAGAGCGAAUAAAUGCUGACUUGAGUGAAAGCGAUGGCGGUGACGCGAUGUAAUGAAUAGCAAAGGCGCCGGUCUGGUCGUCACGACUCUGAAUUUGAAAAAAAAAAAAAGAAAGAAAAAAAAAAGAAGAGAAAGAAAAACAUCCUCGUGAAAGAAAGAAGGAAAAGAGUGCAAAAGAAAAGAAAGAAGAAAAACAUACCGACAAUGCUUCCUUCUCUUAAGUUAUCGGGCAUCAAAACUUUCGGGUGGACACAGAGGCGCCAUCAGCAUUGAGAAUCAUGAAUAAGCUUUUGCGUAUUGCAAUCCACCGUGGAUUUUAGAAGCACACAUUUCUGUUUAUUUAAUAUUAGGAGAUCCAUAUAUGGUGAUUGGGUAAAAAGAAAAUAUACAUGUAUAUUUAUAUUUAUAUUUUUAUAUAUAAACUUGAGUCUCGGUAACAUACUGCCCUGUGGAUUCCAAGGUGGUUGGAGAGGAAUCCGUGCGUGAUCAGACGUGGCGCCAUAACCGACGGGGAGUCGACAGCCGUCGCCACGCUAUAAAUUUUGAGUCAGCAUGAACGUUUUCGAAGCGGUUCUAUACAAACCAGUGAGUGGCCAUUUUUCAGCAGCUUAUUGUACCAGCCGAACCAACGGCGUUCAUGUUUUUAACUCCAAAACGCGAGUUUCUUUCACAAUGCACUAAGGGCCACUAAGGGCAUAAAAAUCGUUUCUCUUCAUAAACUGAAUUUUCAACGCAUGUAUGAAGGAUCCCACUUGACCUCGUCAAUUGCUCCUGAUAUCCCACUUCAAGCUAUUUGGUUGAAAAUUUAAGAAAAUAAACAAACAACAUUCUUGGUA